rnacentral:lncRNA from 1 species
UUGCAACCAAUUUGUCUCAGUGUAUGAAAAUCUUUAGCGCUCUUUUCUUGUGUUUGAUGGUUAAGACUCAUCGAGGUUACACCAACUUCUCUUUGAGCAAUUUUUGCACCCACUAAUCAUCAUAACCAUCAUCAAUUAAUCUAUCCUUGUAUUAGGAAACUUGCGAAUUAAUCUGCUAUAUAGUCGGGAACUCAAGGAUGUAAGGAAUAUAUGUAUAGAGAUUCGAGAGAGAGAGGAUUUCAUUAGUUGCUAGCAAGUACAGCAGAGAGUAAUAGUAGCCAGAUUCAAUUUAUACACUACGACUUCAGGUAUACUUAGUCACAUCUUUGCGUCGCGAUAACAUGGAAGCCUUUCGUUCCAUGUCAGAACACAGGGGCCAAAAAGAACAAAACAUAAGAAUGAAAGGAUACAGAUAAGUGUUCAAUUAGCCCUCCUACAACAACAUGCAUGGAGACCAGCCCUCCUUUGCAAAACCAAUAUAUAUGUUGCAAUCUUCUCAUCACCGCUGCGGCAAACCUCCUCCUCCUCCUCCUACUCCUCCUCAAAAUCCAUAAACCCAGUCCACCAAACGUGGAACUGGGUAAAAAGAGAGAGAGACCAAAGAUGAGACAAGCUAAGGAUGACACAGGAGAACCAUGUCAUGGUCAUGGUAUAGGGUUUGUACUAAGCUGCCUGCUAUCAUUGUUGGCCAGGCAGAAGGAAAAGCACGUAAAAGGAUAUAUAUAUAUAUAUAUAGUAUAGAGAGUUGGAGACCAUGACAUGCCCCAUGCAAGACCCCUACUCUAGCGAGUCAUCUCCAUGGAUGUACCAGCAGAGCAGCAUCGUGGCGCAGCGGCGCAGGAUGUAGAUCCUGGCACGCUGCUCCUUGACGAGCGACGCGCAGCGCCUGGAGAAACCCUUGCCCUUCGUCAUGGAGUCCAUCCGGGUUUCGGCCAUGGCGGUGGUGGUCCUAGAUCAGGAACGAGCUAAUUAACGAUGACCUGAUAGCCU